rnacentral:ncRNA from 1 species
AUUCUCAGGGCGGGGUGCAAUUCCCCACCGGCGGUUAUAGCCCGCGAGCGCCCAGCAAUGGGGUCAGCAGAUCCGGUGGAACUCCGGGGCCGACGGUAUAGUCCGGAUGAAAGAGAAU